rnacentral:rRNA from 1 species
UGGGGAAUCUUCCGCAAUGGACGAAAGUCUGACGGAGCAACGCCGCGUGAGUGAAGAAGGUUUUCGGAUCGUAAAACUCUGUCUUUUGGGGCGAACGUGAGUAUGGUGAACAAUCAUAGUCAGUGACGGUACCAAAGGAGGAAGCCACGGCUAACUACGUGCCAGCAGCCGCGGUAAUACGUAGGUGGCAAGCGUUGUCCGGAAUUAUUGGGCGUAAAGAGCGCGUAGGCGGGAUAGUCAGUCUGUUGUAAAGUGCGGGGCUCAACCCCGUGAUGGCAAUGGAAACAGCUAUUCUUGAGUGCAGGAGAGGAAAGUGGAAUUCCCAGUGUAGCGGUGAAAUGCGUAGAUAUUGGGAGGAACACCAGUGGCGAAGGCGACUUUCUGGACUGUGUCUGACGCUGAGGCGCGAAAGCCAGGGGGAGCGAACGGGGAUUAGAUACCCCCGGUAGUCCUGGCCGUAAACGAUGGGGUACUAGGUGUGGGGAGGUAUCGACCCCCUUUCCGUGCCCGGAGUUAACGCAAUAAGUACCCCCGCCUGGGGAGUACGGUCGCAAGACUGAAACUCAAAUGAAUUGACGGGGGUCAUAGCUGUUUCCUG